AACGUGAGCUAAUACCGGAUAUCUCAUUUCCUCUCCUGAGGGGAUGAUGAAAGACGGAGCAAUCUGUCACUUGCGGAUGGGCCUGCGGCGCAUUAGCUAGUUGGUGAGGUAACGGCUCACCAAGGCGACGAUGCGUAGCCGACCUGAGAGGGUGAACGGCCACACUGGGACUGAGACACGGCCCAGACUCCUACGGGAGGCAGCAGUAGGGAAUCUUCCGCAAUGGGCGAAAGCCUGACGGAGCAACGCCGCGUGAGUGAUGAAGGUUUUCGGAUCGUAAAGCUCUGUUGCCAGGGAAGAACGUCCGGUAGAGUAACUGCUAUCGGAGUGACGGUACCUGAGAAGAAAGCCCCGGCUAACUACGUGCCAGCAGCCGCGGUAAUACGUAGGGGGCAAGCGUUGUCCGGAAUUAUUGGGCGUAAAGCGCGCGCAGGCGGUCAUUUAAGUCUGGUGUUUAAGGCCAAGGCUCAACCUUGGUUCGCACUGGAAACUGGGUGACUUGAGUGCAGAAGAGGAGAGUGGAAUUCCACGUGUAGCGGUGAAAUGCGUAGAUAUGUGGAGGAACACCAGUGGCGAAGGCGACUCUCUGGGCUGUAACUGACGCUGAGGCGCGAAAGCGUGGGGAGCAAACAGGAUUAGAUACCC
rnacentral:rRNA from 1 species